rnacentral:rRNA from 1 species
AUUGAACGCUGGCGGCAGGCCUAACACAUGCAAGUCGAGCGGAUGAAGGGAGCUUGCUCCUGGAUUCAGCGGCGGACGGGUGAGUAAUGCCUAGGAAUCUGCCUGGUAGUGGGGGAUAACGUCCGGAAACGGGCGCUAAUACCGCAUACGUCCUGAGGGAGAAAGUGGGGGAUCUUCGGACCUCCCGCUAUCAGAUGAGCCUAUGUCGGAUUAGCUAGUUGGUGGGGUAAAGGCCUACCAAGGCGACGAGCCGUCGCUGGGCUGAGAGGAUGAUCAGUCACACUGGAACUUGGAGACGGUCCCGACUCCUACGGGAGGCAGAAGUGGGGAAUAUUGAACAAUGGGCGCAAGCCUGAUCCAGCAAUACCGCGUGGGUGAAGAAGGCAUUCGGGUUGUAAAGCCCUUUUGUUGGGAAAGAAAAGCAGCAGGUUAAUACCCCGCUGUUCUGACGGUACCCAAAGAAUAAGCACCGGCUAACUUCGUG